rnacentral:rRNA from 1 species
AACCAACAGGGAUUGCCCUAGUAACGGCGAGUGAAGCGGCAACAGCUCAAAUUUGAAAUCUGGCGCAAGCCCGAGUUGUAAUUUGUAGAGGAUGCUUCUAGGUAGCGACCGGUCUAAGUUCCUUGGAACAGGACGUCAUAGAGGGUGAGAAUCCCGUAUGUGACCGGCCCGCACCUUCUACGUAGCUCCUUCGACGAGUCGAGUUGUUUGGGAAUGCAGCUCUAAAUGGGAGGUAAAUUUCUUCUAAAGCUAAAUACCGGCCAGAGACCGAUAGCGCACAAGUAGAGUGAUCGAAAGAUGAAAAGCACUUUGGAAAGAGAGUUAAAAAGCACGUGAAAUUGUUGAAAGGGAAGCGCUUACAACCAGACUUCUGGGCGGUGUUCCGCCGGUCUUCUGACCGGUCUACUCGCCGUCCCGAGGCCAACAUCAUCUGGGACCGCUGGAUAAGACCUCAGGAAUGUAGCUCCCCUCGGGGAGUGUUAUAGCCUGUGGUGAUGCAGCGCGUCUCGGGUGAGGUCCGCGCUUCGGCAAGGAUGUUGGCGUAAUGGUUGUCAGCGGCCCGUCUUGAAACACGGACCAAGGAGUCUAACAUCUAUGCGAGUGUUCGGGUGUCAAACCCCUACGCGUAAUGAAAGUGAACGGAGGUGGGAAGCGCAAGCUGCACCAUCGACCGAUCCUGAUGUCCUCGGAUGGAUUUGAGUAAGAGCAUAGCUGUUGGGACCCGAAAGAUGGUGAACUAUGCCUGAAUAGGGUGAAGCCAGAGGAAACUCUGGUGGAGGCUCGCAGCGGUUCUGACGUGCAAAUCGAUCGUCAAAUUUGGGUAUAGGGGCGAAAGACUAAUCGAACCAU